rnacentral:tRNA from 1 species
GCUGGUCAGAGGGUUAGCUGGUCAGGAGCUUGAUCGCUGCCAGACCUUUCAAGCUGGUCAUGCGGGUUCGAAUCCCAUCACCCGCUCCA